GGCAGGUACAGAGGGAUGCUACCGGGCGACCGGAUGCGGAUCUCGAAAGCCUGUCCCAGUUCGGACUGGAGUCUGCAACCCGACUCCACGAAGUUGGAUUCGCUAGUAAUCGCGCAUCAGCCAUGGCGCGGUGAAUACGUUCCCGGGCCUUGUACACACCGCCCGUCAAGCCAUGGGAGCCGGGGGCGCCUGAAGUCCGGGACCGCGAGGACCGGCCUAGGGCGAAACUGGUAACUGGGGCUAAGUCGUAACAAGGUAAC
rnacentral:rRNA from 1 species